rnacentral:rRNA from 1 species
AUUGAACGCUGGCGGCAGGCUUAACACAUGCAAGUCGAGCGGAGAGAGGUAGCUUGCUACUGAUCUUAGCGGCGGACGGGUGAGUAAUACUUAGGAAUCUGGCUAUUAGUGGGGGACAACAUUUCGAAAGGGAUGCUAAUACCGCAUACGUCCUACGGGAGAAAGCAGGGGAUCUUCGGACCUUGCGCUAAUAGAUGAGCCUAAGUCGGAUUAGCUAGUUGGUGGGGUAAAGGCCUACCAAGGCGACGAUCUGUAGCGGGUCUGAGAGGAUGAUCCGCCACACUGGGACUGAGACACGGCCCAGACUCCUACGGGAGGCAGCAGUGGGGAAUAUUGGACAAUGGGGGGAACCCUGAUCCAGCCAUGCCGCGUGUGUGAAGAAGGCCUUAUGGUUGUAAAGCACUUUAAGCGAGGAGGAGGGUACUGGUAUUAAUACUACCAGGUACUGGACGUUACUCGCAGAAUAAGCACCGGCUAACUCUGUGCCAGCCGCCGCCGUAA